CCUACGGGAGGCAGCAGUGAGGAAUUUUCUGCAAUGGGCGAAAGCCUGACAGAGCAAUACCGCGUGAGGGAUGAAGACUUACUGAGUUGUAAACCUCGGUGCCUUAAGGAAGAAGAUCUGACGGUACUUAAGGUGGAAAGCAUCGGCUAACUCCGUGCCAGCAGCCGCGGUAAGACGGGGGAUGCAAGUGUUAUCCGGAAUUACUGGGCGUAAAGCGUCUGCAGGUGGUUUUAUAAGUCUGCUGUUAAAUCUUGAGGCUCAACCUCAAAUCUGCAGUGGAAACUAUAAGACUUGAGUAUAGUAGGGGUAGAGGGAAUUUCCAGUGGAGCGGUGAAAUGCGUAGAUAUUGGAAAGAACACCGAUGGCGAAGGCACUCUACUGGGCUAUUACUGACACUCAGAGACGAAAGCUAGGGGAGCAAAUGGGAUUAGAUACCCCAGUAGUCCUAGCCGUAAACGAUGGAUACUCGAUGUUGGACGUAUCGACCCGUUCAGUAUCUUAGCUAACGCGUUAAGUAUCCCGCCUGGGGAUACGCUCGCAAGNGNGANANANAGAUGAGNGNGNGAGNGCGAGAGACACGAGGAGAG
rnacentral:rRNA from 1 species